rnacentral:rRNA from 1 species
UACGGAGGGGGCUAGCGUUGUUCGGAAUUAUUGGGCGUAAAGGGCGCGUAGGCGGCCGAUUAAGUCAGGUGUGAAAUCCCGGGGCUUAACCCUGGAAGUGCAUUUGAUACUGAUUGGCUUGAGUAUGGGAGAGGGGAGUGGAAUUCCUGGUGUAGAGGUGAAAUUCGUAGAUAUCAGGAGGAACACCGGUGGCGAAGGCGACUUCCUGGACCAAUACUGACGCUGAGGAGCGAAGGUGUGGGGAGCAAACAGG